GAUCAUUACCGAGUGAGGGCCCUCUGGGUCCAACCUCCCACCCGUGUCUAUCGUACCUUGUUGCUUCGGCGGGCCCGCCGUUUCGACGGCCGCCGGGGAGGCCUUGCGCCCCCGGGCCCGCGCCCGCCGAAGACCCCAACAUGAACGCUGUUCUGAAAGUAUGCAGUCUGAGUUGAUUAUCGUAAUCAGUUAAAACUUUCAACAACGGAUCUCUUGGUUCCGGCAUCGAUGAAGAACGCAGCGAAAUGCGAUAAGUAAUGUGAAUUGCAGAAUUCAGUGAAUCAUCGAGUCUUUGAACGCACAUUGCGCCCCCUGGUAUUCCGGGGGGCAUGCCUGUCCGAGCGUCAUUGCUGCCCUCAAGCACGGCUUGUGUGUUGGGCCCCCGUCCCCCUCUCCCGGGGGACGGGCCCGAAAGGCAGCGGCGGCACCGCGUCCGGUCCUCGAGCGUAUGGGGCUUUGUCACCUGCUCUGUAGGCCCGGCCGGCGCCAGCCGACACCCAACUUUAUUUUUCUAA
rnacentral:misc_RNA from 1 species